rnacentral:misc_RNA from 1 species
CGCCUUUUUGGUAGGUUUAUGCUGGUUGGCAGGUCGGCGGCCACGGACCACCACCCAUUGCUCGGGGGACGGGUGGUGUGGACGUUUUGGCGGCUGGGCGUCCUUCUGGAGGUACUGGUGGGUGUCCACAUGCAUCCUGCAGUGUUAAAAUGCACUCUACCCCGUUUAAACCGAAUUUUACAUGUAUUUGAGUAGGCCGAACUCGGCCGAAUUUGCUCCGUGCAUGCUAGCCGAGUGGUAACUGCUUAGGUUCGCGUAGCGAAAUUAAGCAGCUACCGCCUCGGGUAGCACCCGGGUGGGUGACGUCGAAUCGGCCAUUGCGGCUGGUAUACCUUUUGUAGUACAUUUUUGUGUGCAAAUGUAUUGACUGAUUUUUUGUAUGGUCCAGAGGUCGGUUGGGCCCGACCCCGGCCUCGUUCUAGGGGUAAAAAAGGGUGCUGAAUCGAUUGGUGCAGCCGGGUCAUGCGCCACUGCUAUGCAUCCCCCUCAAACUCGAUAACUACAGUUAAGACGUUUUAGCUUGUAGUACGUAUGGUAUAGGCGUGAGAUAGACGUGGUGACGCAGGUGGGCUAGGGGUAGUUUCAUGCGCUGAUUUCAUUGGUGGAUGAUUUGAGUGCGUCCCGACUAUGCAUCCCUGUCAAAUCUAAUAAUUAAAUUUUGGAGGUCAAAAUAUGCAAGUGGAAAAGGUGCACCUAGACGUGUUUUUGCACGCUGAUUCCGAAUAUAGUACUCCGAAAUCUGUACCGUCCCUGGAAACCUCUCAAACAGCAUACCCCAUUUUUCAACAUAUGUUUUUCGCGGUCGGAGCCGGGACAGUCCGAUAGGAAAUUUCACGCUGAUUACGAAUAUCGUACUCCGAAACACAGGCGACCUCUACUUUUUCCGCUACAACCGUUCAACGUUUUAAGAUUUCGAAAAAGGGCAAAAAAUGCGCGCGGGAACUCCGUUCUCGGCUCCCAGAAACAUUUUUGGCCUUUCGCUCCUGUACAUGGCGAUAGCCCUGAUCGCCCUCUAGACGCUCCCAAAACAUAGGCUUCUAGUUCGAAGUGGUUGUCGAGUUAUUGCAGUUUUAGUGGCUGCGCGCGCUUCAUACCCGAAAUGCGAGCCAAAAAAGUGCACUCUUUCGGACAUUGCCGAGCCGCCCAGAAGCCGAUUGGCCAACCCCUGAGGGGGUGGCAGGCACUACUCAUCACGGGGAACACGCCUGUACCAACUUCAACGGACAGAAAUUGCUCGAUCAGGUCGCCGGGCCGGAAAAAGUGCCAUUUUGGCCCGGGGUAACGACAAAUUUAUAGUCACCACUUGGGUCGCCAUGUUUCCAAAAGUACGCUUUUGAAACAUUUUUUUCCGAUAAUCCGAGUGAUUUUUAUACACACGUGUGCACCGUCCCUUCCUCAUUUGGGGGGCUCUAAAGAUGGCUAGAAUCGGCCAGUAGUUUUUGAAAAGUAAAAAAACGUGUUUUUUUAACCUACACCUCACAAAAUUUGGUAAUUUUAUGUUCACGCGAGCUAUUCUGAACCGCAGCAGCGCUGCGGUUUCGAUGGUCCCAGUCUUAGCUUGUGAAUCGCAGCCGAAAAAAAGUUAUGGCCGACCGAAGAUAUUUACAUAGCCGGGACGCCGAGCGGGGGCCUCUCUCACGCCACAACCGCUGCGACAACACCCCCUGUGUUCUAUGGACGAAAAUUCAAAAACACCAUUAUCUACCUUUCCCAUUAAUAUCUUGGUAUAGUAAAGUUGCCUGGGGGACGCGCAAAUGGCGUCUUUCGAUUUUCACCGAAGUACGCACUUUUCCCGGAUUUCCCGCCAACCGGCCCCAAAAUUGGGUUAUUUUUAGGACAAUUUUGGGGUCACUAAAAUGCCCAUUUCUCGACUUCUAGAAGGAGUUGAGCGAACUGCUUUAGCACAAGUCCUAGUGCUUAGGAAGCCCCAGGACGUCAAAAAAGGAUGUUGGCGAAAAAUGUAUACAGCCUUCUGGCGGUACCCAAAUGUGGUCCAAAAUGGGCACUUUCGAGUACAGUACUGUACGCACCUAAAAGCGAACUUAGUUAAGUACGCACUAGAUACGCACUUUCUUUCAAAAUUUAAAAUAUUGGUAAUUUACUUAUAACAGAAAGGGACCAAAUGUUGGCCCGUCCCCCAACCCGCGGACUAUUUUCAGGAACAAUUAGGAAAUUUGGUCUAUCUUAUUUGGAAUUUGAUUUUUUUUAAUUUUGUUACAAAUUUUAGCUACACUUUCAAGCGAAAAAAAAAGGAUAAGGCAUACCCCAUUUGCAGGGUAUUUGUGAAGUGACAUGACAGUUACAGAACAACUAUUUUUAGGAACGGCGUGUGGGUUCCUAAGAAUAGAAAAAAAUGGCCAGUUGGACGGCAACCUGCCAUGAAACGGAUCAACCAAUUUGGGGAUGUAACUUGGCAGUUACAAGACGCUGUUUUCGGACAGCUAUUUUCGGAUUUCCGAAAAUAAGGCCUAAUGGUGGGCCAUUUCUGCCAAUUUAUUGAACUAGGAACGUGACAGUUCAAAGCACACCUAUUUUUUGGAGAUGGAGAGAGAUCUCAGAGAGUAGUAAUUUAUGGGCCAGUUUAGCGGCCGCCUGUCAUUUUCUGCUCGAGGCGAUUAAUACUGCGAUUGCAUUAUUUUUUUUGGACAUGGCGAGAGAUGUCAAGAGAAUUAAUUGUGAAAGCUUUGUUAUUCGUUUCACUCCUAACUAGCGGCCUGACGGACGCAAGUGACAGUCAAACGUUGCGAAUUCUUGUUUUUUUGUUGGUGGUAUGCGACCACCUAAAUAUAGGUAGCUAGAACUUUUAAAAUAACAACUCCUGCUAUUUCGUCUUCUAGGAGGUGAGAUAGUUGAUACUGCUGUAGGGCAAUUGGUGGUUUCCCAGAUGGGUCUUCGCGGGAGCUGUUCUGCUGUUUCUGGGACUUGUGUGGGGGACAAACUUUUUUUUGUGCGGCGCCGUUAACUUUUGGGAUUUCCCGGGAAGGCGUUCGUGCGAGCGGAUAAUUGAGAAAGUAUUCAUAUGCCAUUGGCAUGAGGAUAAUUUUCGAUUGAUGCAAACAGCGUUGCUCUGGGUAUUUUGUGCGGAAGCGAAACCAAUCUGCUGAAAAGUGAGGCGGUGUAGCGGACGUUGCGAGGUAUCUUAACAACGCUCUGUCGGCGGCGGUGCGAAGGUUUGCUGCGGCGGGAUGCUUAUUAUCGUGUGGUCCUUCGGGCCUGCGUGGUGGUUGGUGGUGCCUGCUGCGGCGCGUUUUGCGCUGUUUGUCGGUGGAUUGAUUCAAUUUUAGUAGAACUGAAAUUGAUCUGGGGCGUGUAUGCGGAGCUUAGUACGGGACCUACACCCCGAACGGCGCUGCGUCGUGCUCUGUUAAUCGCUUCUUGUUCCGUUUCGGCGGGGCUGUUGAAGUGAGGAUCUAAUUUUGUCUUUCUGUAUUGGAGGGAUGGAGAACAGAUUCUCGGCUAAAGUGGCGACUGUGGGAAAGGUUGCGUGCGUCUGGCUUCGGUCGGUUGCGUGCGGCUGGCCUCGUGUGUUGUUGUUUAUGCUGGGGAGGCGUUGUUUCGUCUUCUUUCGUAUGGAGGAUAUU